rnacentral:rRNA from 1 species
CGUCUAGGUGGCACGUUAAGUCAGAUGUGAAAUCCCUCGGCUCAACCGAGGACGUGCAUUUGAAACUAGCGAGCUUGAGUACCGGAGGGGGCAGCGGAAUUCUCGGUGUAGAGGUGAAAUUCGUAGAUAUCGGGAGGAACACCAGCGGCGAAGGCGGCUGCCUGGCCGGAUACUGACACUGAAGCGCGAAAGCGUGGGGAGCAAACA